CACCGACAGCUGGGAGGACUCUGGGGGUGACCCCUGUCUCUGGGCAGAUUCAUCCAAUGCCCGUCCCAUGAGAAAUGACAGGCAGAGAUGCUACACUGCCACAGAAGGGACAAUUCAUACAAUUAAUGCCUGUUAACAUGUUUGUGUGGGGAGGAAAUAACGUGAGACUUGGUGGAUCCUCCGAAAGAUCCAGAGUUUGUCAAAGGCACUGACAGGAUGUUCUUUGGCUUCUGCAAAUGGCAUUUAACUUAGUUCUGUGUGACACUCUGACUUUGGUUUAAUUACCACUAUAGAAAAUAAAUACAAAGUAAAUAUAAAAUGGAAAACUGAUUAACUGCUAACGUUACAAAAAUAAUCCCAUAUGGAAAAUCUGUCUGCAGUGCGAGCAUUCCCCAUGAAGUCUCUAUCCUGGAAAGAACUCACUGCGCACCACGAGGGCAGAGCGCUGCAUGUAUUUGACCUUGCCACAGAACUUGGAGGUGAGUGGGAAGUUGGUCAGAUUUAUUUGGAUAAGCACCAUCCAUUACUCAGAUGCUCAAAUAAAGAAUGCAGCACGCUAAUGAUUGCUACCAUAUUGCACCCUGAGGGUCUAAGGGCCUCAUGUGAGGCUGAACCCAGUAUGCGAGUGCUGUUAGUGUAUAUACAGUAGCUCCUCUCCUAACGUGAGACAAUAUUCAUCCAUCAAAGACGGCUUUUCCUGUCUAAUGGGAAAUUACCACCAGCAGUGCAGACGAAAGCAUAUUUAUUUUCUCAAAUCAUGUCAGUUUGAGGGUCUGUCUGUCUUUCAAGAGUAAUUGAAGUCUGUUUGCAGCUCAGAAAUCUCAUUGUGUUCUGCAAUCUCAGUAAGCGGUGAUUAUAAUUUCCUGUGACUCACACACUGAAGGGGCUUCUUUGCAUCAGGGCAGUGUUCCCUGCCACCUUCACUGAAGGAAGGGACACUUUCAGUUUGGAUUUUCCUGCACAGACCAAAAGAGAAUCCACAUUCUAUCAGCAGAAGAGGAAAAAGAGCCCCUGGCCAGGCUGCCGCCCACACAGAAGAUGAAGCUCUGUCUCCCAGGGCCAUUGACUUACCAGGAGCAACUGAUAGCUGAAACUGGGGUGCUGAGAUGUGGUCUGAACAUGAGGAGGGAAGUGCCAGCUUCGCUUCUGUCUGUGUCUCUCCAGGGCGUGACUAAAAGAUGCCAAAGCAAAAGCCUAAAAAAAAGUGGAAAAUAUUUGUGCAGGCACAUGCACACCGCUACACAGCAGGGAAUGGAAGGAAACCCCUUCGCAGCGCAACAGCAGCGAGGAUCUGGCCAAUUGAGGUUGCAGUGCACCUUACACCAAGGCAGGUGGAAUGAAACGCCCAUUCCGAUGUCUCCAGAUCAACUCACGUCACUAAUGUGAAAAGCUGAGUGAUGUGGAGUGCUUUACUCCAAACAGUGGAUCAUGUGGAAACAAAAGCAU
ensembl:lncRNA